CUUAUGAAAUUAAUAAAUAUAUAAAUUAAUAUACUAAAAUUAUUAACAAAGCAAUAAGCACAAGCAAACAUGUAAAAUAGCAAUUGAAAUUUAGAAUUACACAAUAUUAUAUAUGUAUAUAUAUAUAUAUAUAGUUUGAUGACAUAAUAAUUAAAGCUGCGGGCUACAUUGACUUAUUCUCUUGCAGCCGCUUCAGCCUCUUAAUUACACUUUGUGACCUUUGCCGGUUUUCACUUUUUUACC
rnacentral:lncRNA from 1 species